GGGCUGAUAGCUUAUAGGUAAAGCAUGUUGCUCAUAACAAUAAAGAAAUUGGUUCGACUCCAUUUCAGCCCA
rnacentral:tRNA from 1 species